UCUGUCAUCUAAUCGUUUUAGGCAUCAAUUAUGUGUGAUUUGAAGAAAAUUGUCCCUCCUGUGAAUGUAAUUUGUUACGUAUAUACUAGUGGCUAUGUUUAAAAUGCAUAAAACAUUAUGAAAACCAUCGGGAUCGAAGUACCACGUGUAAACAUUAUGGCAUCCUGAGACGUUUUGUUUACCGUUUUGUACGUCCCCAGAAAAAGAUUCAAGUGCGUUAAUUGUCAACGAGUCUUCGGAUUAUGGCUCUGAUUUUGAUGAAUAUGAUUCUGACAGCAUUUGAUAGCAAGACGGAUGUAGUUAUAUGAUGAUACCGAAUCAACAAUGUUUGAAUUUGAAAAAGAAACAGAUUAUUCAAAUUCAUUUCCCUGGUUAGGGCUGGGCUUUACAAUGGGAUUUUCAGCUGUGGAGCUAUAAAGAAUUACUACAUAUGGUUUCCAAUGUAGUUUUGUGUACAGAAUCCAGAAAUAAGAAGAGAAAAGACAAUGCAGAUGCAGCAUUAGAAUUACCAACUACUUAUCACUGCUGAGGAAAUGGUACCUGCUUUGAGUACUACUCUUGUGUAUUUGGAGACAGUCCAGUUGUUCUUUAAACCAGAAGUGGAAAUUUCAGUGCUUGUUAAAUUUUCUCCAGAAGUUAUUGGAUGAUACAUUGGAAGAAAAUGGGAUCAUACUGAACAAAAUAGUUUGGACACACCUUAUAGAUUUUGAAAGAUUGAGACCUCAAGAUCAACCCAAAUAAUAUUUAAUAUGUAUCAGGGUUCACUUGCAAGAAUACACAGAAAUUCAGAGUAAAUUUUAAGUGUUUGUUAUCUUAGAGAAGAUCAAAGUUCAAGGUCAGCAGUGCUUUAGUUUUACCAAAUAUAAAACUGUUAUAAAGACUAAUUUUCUGUAUACAGUUAUAGCAAAUAAUUCAGAAUAUGAUUUGGGGAAACCGUGAUUUUUUUCUUUUAAAUCUUACCUUAAUUUAGAACCAUGAUGUAUACUUAAGCAAGUAGAUUUUUUUUCAAGCAUACAAAAUUUCAAGGUCAUUUUAAUUUUGGAAGUGAAUAUAACAUAUCAGGAAGCAGUCAAGCAUUGUAAUUUAUUUGUUGUUGA